rnacentral:rRNA from 1 species
AGCAGUCGCCGCGGUAAUACGAAGGGGGCUAGCGUUGCUCGGAAUUACUGGGCGUAAAGGGAGCGUAGGCGGGUCGUUUAGUCAGAGGUGAAAUCCCGGGGCUCAACCUCGGAACUGCCUUUGAUGCUGGCGACCUUGAGUAUGGGAGAGGUAAGCGGAACUCCGAGUGUAGAGGUGAAAUUCGUAGAUAUUCGGAAGAACACCAGUGGCGAAGGCGGCUUACUAGCCCAUUACUGACGCUGAGGCUCGAAAGCGUGGGGAGCAAACAGGAUUAGAUACCCGCGUAGUCCCUGUCUCUUAUAC